UAGGUCACUACAGAAAUUUCAGUAAACCCCUCUGAAAUUCAUGCAAUCCGGUCUUGUAGUGAGGUCAUAGUGCUGUCCGUGAUAUGCGUCGCCUCCAUCUUCUUUCCUAGGAGGAGUUCGUCCCGGAGACACGCCUAAGCUGUGGCUUUAAUGGCACGCGGUCUGACAUCUUCGAGACAUCUUCGAGCUAGCAGGAGGUCCUCGUGGAAAUUACCAAUCAAGGAUCAACAGGUGCAGGGUUUUAUCUGUCUGACUAAGAAGCACUAAUGUUUCGUUGGAAAAAAAACAGAAAUUCACCGAUGAAUAUAUUCCAACAAAGCAAGCAUAUAAUGGUAUCUUCAAUACCACAAUAAUCAUAUUAAGGAGCUUCAAUUUAACUCUUACUUUGAAAGCUUCCAGGUAUGUACAUAUUGAUCCCUUUAUAAGUAGAUAUUCCAAGUAUGAUACAUCCUACUGAAUUUUCAUGCUCAUUUUGUUCCCUAAUUUUGCUUGACUCUCAACCUCACCAGCAUAUGCAUUCAUAAAAAGUCACGACAAAUUACAUUACAUUUGAUGGAUAUUAAUUUAGUUCAUGCUAAUCUCUAUUUUCUGGAAUAUAUAUGGAGGCAACUCAUAUUUGCUUGGCUCUCAAUCUCGAAAUUCAUGGAUUAUGUAAUUUUUAAGCAUGAUAUUCUAAAUACCAGAUGUUUACCUGAUUUAUUUAGUGACAAGUUCAAUCUCAGAGAUCUUGGUGCAGAAUAUCAAUUAUUGAUGCUUACUAUUCAUGUAUCAAGCUUUGAGAUUUGGAGGCUCUCAUUUUAACGAGCUUCAUUAGCUACAAUUUUCACAGAAGCUGAACUAUGAUAACUAGAUGAUACCCCGCGCCUUGCUGCGGAACUUAUAUCUUCUAUUUUUUAUGAUGAAAAACUUGAAAACACAACAUACAUUAUUUGAACAGAAAGAGAUACCAAUGAGAUCAAAGAAAGAUCUGAAGCAAUAUUGAUAUUUCCAUAUGAAAUGUUGAAUGAAUACAUGAAUAGAUGAAUUGCAUUAACAUAAAUUCAAUGCUUCCCGGCAGUCAGGCUAACUUGUAAGAGCGCAGAAACAAUUGUAUAGUACAUAAAAGGUACUCUGUUAGCGUAGACAGACUUCAAAAAAGACUACUGAAUUCACUUGCACCCAAAUGAUGAAUCUCUGUGUUAACCAUAUGCUGAAUUAAUGAACAAAAUAGGGUCAGAUGAAACUGGAAAUUGCUUUUAGAUCAUGUGCUCUGGACGCAAGAGAAUUCAAAUGAAGAACAAAAGAUCUGAAAAGUUCACAUGGAAAUAUUAUAAUAUAUACAAUGUUCAACUGUGCAUUGAAAUGUUAACACAUCUUUUGGGGUUUGUCAGACAGAUUGGAGUACUGAUAUUUAUAUUUAGCUAACUCUUCUUUUUCUUGAGCAGCUCAUAGAUGAAUACAUACAAAAAAAAAGACAUUAUUUCUUUUGGUAAGGAAGUGCACUGUACUGGUAGUACUCGGCAUGAUUAUGUAAGAAUGAUAAACAAUAGAAGAGGCCAAAGACACAUCA